GACAGAGGUGCCAAGCGUUAGGCGGAAUCACUGGGCUUAAAGCGUGUGUAGGCGGACUUGUAAGUACCUUGUGAAAUCCCACGGCUCAACCGUGGAACUGCUCGGUAUACUGCUUGUCUUGAGCCACUUAGGGGCUGUCGGAACAAACGGUGGAGCGGUGAAAUGCGUAGAUAUCAGGAAGAACACCAAUGGCGAAAGCAGCUUUCUGGGACGGUACUGACGCUGAGACGCGAAAGCGUGGGGAGCGAACAGG
rnacentral:rRNA from 1 species